AUGAUGGCUUCACGAGCCGCCACCGCGCUCCGCACGGCCGCCCUGCAGGGCUACUUCCGGAGGUCGGCCUCCACCGCGGCGGCGCACGCCGAGAGGCCCAAGGCGAAGCCCAUGGGCGACUACGUGCCGGUGUACGUGGCGCUGGGGAUGAUCGGCCUGGCGGGGGCGCUGGGGCUGCACACGGCGCGGCAGCAGCUGGCGCACGCGCCCAACGUCUGGGUCGACAAGCGCAAGCGCGAGGCGGUGCCCGAGGUGGCGGACCCGGACCUCGCCCUCGACGAGGCCGAGCGCUUCGUCGGCGGCUCCGUGUUCCGCAAGGUCGCCCACGUCCAGGACGACCGCUCCCUCACCGCCGGCGUCGCCGACCCCGUCGCCGACUACCCGGCGAGGAAGGCGGUGACGCUCAAGGACGUCGGCGUGGACCCGCCGGGGAUCCCCGAGCAGAGCAGGGAGGGCGUCCUCGACAGGAUCUUCAAGAAGAACACCGCUUAA
rnacentral:rRNA from 1 species